rnacentral:Y_RNA from 1 species
GGCUGGCUAAAAGAUAGCGAGUUACUUCAAUUUGUUGUUCAUAGUCAAUUACUGACUAAACUCCCUGUUCUACUCUUUCCCCCUUUCUCAUUACUGCACCUGACUAGUCUUUU